rnacentral:rRNA from 1 species
AUGUUGUCUGCUAGCACCGUAAUAUGUCCAUCCAUUAACCACUAUUUUGUCGAAAUACAGGCCUUUGCUUCUGGUUAUUACAAGCUAGGUAGUAUUGUGGCAGUGAUCGGAAACUUCUACACGACUCAUCACCAUCAUGUCCAUGCCCCAGACUUGGGUGAGUGCUCAAGGAAGAAUUUUGUAGUUCCACUGUUGGAUCCCAAGCAGGAAAUUCAUGAUCAGCCUUGCGCAAGCUAUGGAGUUUCAAGAAAUCGAUUGACAGGUGGAGUGACUGCUAGGGUCAUAAACGAAGAAACAAUGAAGUUAUUGGACAGCAAAACAGAUUGUUUAUUCCCAAUGUCGUUGCUCUUGCAAAACUGCAGGCCUAUUGGUUAUGUGGUAAGCAACCACUGGACCCUUUAUGCAAGCACACAAAUGUUG